UACGGGGGGAGCAAGCGUUGUUCGGAUUUACUGGGCGUAAAGGGCGCGUAGGCGGCCAGCGCAAGUCGGUUGUGAAAUCUCCGGGCUUAACUCGGAAAGGUCAACUGAUACUGCGCGGCUAGAGUGCAGAAGGGGCAGCUGGAAUUCUCGGUGUAGCGGUGAAAUGCGUAGAUAUCGAGAGGAACACCUGCGGCGAAGGCGGGUUGCUGGGCUGACACUGACGCUGAGUGCGCGAAAGCCAGGGGAGCGAACGGG
rnacentral:rRNA from 1 species